AUGAUCAGGUAGAUAGGUCAGGAGUGGAAGUACAGUGAUGUAUGGAGCGGACUGAUACUAAUCGAUCGAGGACUUAACCAAU
rnacentral:rRNA from 1 species